rnacentral:other from 1 species
UUCUGCCUGCGGUAUUCGUGAACUUGUGUUGCUUUUGAACUACAGUUGACUCGGGAGACAAGCUAUGGGUGGUGUUCAAGCCGACUAGAUCGGAUUUGCUAAGCCCUUAAGUAAGUUGCCCACCUUGUUAUAGGUUCACAACAGUCAAACAAACACGGUAUUGUGGGUAGAUC